rnacentral:rRNA from 1 species
AGCAGUCGCCGCGGGAACACGUAGGUGGCAAGCGUUGUCCGGAAUUAUUGGGCGUAAAGCGCGCGCAGGCGGUUUCUUAAGUCUGAUGUGAAAGCCCCCGGCUUAACCGGGGAGGGUCAUUGGAAACUGGGAGACUUAGAGUGCAGAAGAGGAGAGUGGAAUUCCAUGUGUAGCGGUGAAAUGCGUAGAUAUAUGGAGGGACACCAGUGGCGAAGGCGACUCUCUGGUCUGUAACUGACGCUGAGGCGCGAAGGCGUGGGGAGCAAACAGGAUUAGAUACCCCCGUAGUCCCUGUCUCUUAUA